GGCGGCGUGGCCGAGUGGUUUUGGGCGCUGGAUUUGAAAUCUGGAGUUUCCUGGCUCAAUUCCUCGGCCCCGCUA
rnacentral:tRNA from 1 species